ACGACUUUACUUGAACAGGAUCUGUUCUAUAGGCUCGUACCACUGUAUCCUUGAGUUCUAAGAAGACAGGAAACAAAGUCUGGUUGAAGCCGAGCU
rnacentral:snoRNA from 1 species